rnacentral:snoRNA from 1 species
UACCACAAGAUAACAUGGGCCCCUGUUCUGUUCGUUAGACUUUGGGAAAUUGAAAUGGGCUGGGAUAAGUGUUUGGAUAGAAAAGUACUGUUCUAUUCAUUUAUGUCCUGGCCUACAAAA